AGGACGAACGCUGGCGCGUGCUUAACGACGAUGCAAGUCGAGCGGAAAGGCCCUUCGGGGUACUCGAGCGGCGAACGGGUGAGUAACACGUGAGCAACCUGCCCUUGGCUCUGGGACAGCCUCCGGAAACGGGGAUUAAUACCGGACAUUCACUUUCUCCUGCAUGGGGGUUGGUGGAAAGUUUUUCGGCCAGGGAGGGGCUCGCGGCCUAUCAGCUUGUUGGCGGGGUAACGGCCCACCAAGGCGACGACGGGUAGCCGGCCUGAGAGGGCGAUCGGCCACACUGGGACUGAGACACGGCCCAGACUCCUACGGGAGGCAGCAGUGGGGAAUAUUGCACAAUGGGCGCAAGCCUGAUGCAGCGACGCCGCGUGGGGGAUGAAGGCCUUCGGGUUGUAAACCCUUUCACCAGGAGCGAAUUCAGACGGUACCUGGGGAAGAAGGCGCCGGCUAACUACGUGCCAGCAGCCGC
rnacentral:rRNA from 1 species